AAACACACACUGCAUUGUCUCCACUUUGCUUCAGUGUCAGCAGUACAUCAAAAUGGUUUUUUCUUUCAGGUCUUACUGAUGCUUUGAAGGAAGACAGUCCCUGGACCAAGUUCCCUCUCAAGUAUCAUCUCAGCAGAAAAGUUAUCUCAGGAGUUCCCAGCAUUCUUCUCUCAAACUCCCAAGGAAUUUUGGCCAGAUGUGGAGCUGAGAUCCUGCCUUGUGUUUUGCAGAUAAUUUCUCCCCUGUUGUAGCACCAUACCCUUAAGGAACAUCUGUUUUCAAGACAUGAUAGUAUAGCAGGUGACCCAAAUCUGAUAUUUGUAUGGAUAUUGUCUUUGCUAGUUGGACAAUCCUUUGCUGUCACUCCAUUCUCAAAGUUAGUAUGCCAAAGAAGAGGACCCCAACAGAGAGAAACCCAACAGAAGUAUUGGUGGUGAUGGCAGCAGAUGGAAAGGAAAGGUUUGGGCUACUAAAAAUGAUCAGACGUCAUCCUACAGCUGGGAAAUCAGCAAGGAAUGUAGAUCAGCCUUUCUCUUCAUUAAAUCUGUAAUUAAGACCCCA
rnacentral:lncRNA from 1 species